UUCUCCUAGGGAUAAGUGCUGGCAUCUUAUAUUCUGUGUAGUCAUCUUUCUCCAGGCUCCUUUCCUUCUAUGUUGUGGAUCGUCGAGUCUUAUUGUUUCAUGGUCCUGAUGAGAAUAGCUACCUGUUGCUUCUUCUCUGAAGAUCCUUACUACUCCUACUGUUUGUCGAUGGCUGAAGCUUCUCUUCUUUGUUUGCCGAAGCAUCUCUCUUCCUCAUUC
rnacentral:lncRNA from 1 species